rnacentral:rRNA from 1 species
AGAGUUUGAUCCUGGCUCAGGAUUAACGCUAGCGGCAGGCCUAACACAUGCAAGUCGAGGGGUAACAGGAGAAAGCUUGCUUUUUUGCUGACGACCGGCGCACGGGUGCGUAACGCGUAUACAAUCUACCUUUUGCUGAGGGAUAGCCCAGAGAAAUUUGGAUUAAUACCUCAUAGUAUGAUAACUUGGCAUCGAGAAAUCAUUAAAGGUUACGGCAAGAGAUGAGUAUGCGUUCUAUUAGCUAGAUGGUGUGGUAACGGCACACCAUGGCAACGAUAGAUAGGGGCCCUGAGAGGGGGAUCCCCCACACUGGUACUGAGACACGGACCAGACUCCUACGGGAGGCAGCAGUGAGGAAUAUUGGGCAAUGGAGGCAACUCUGACCCAGCCAUGCCGCGUGCAGGAAGACUGCCCUAUGGGUUGUAAACUGCUUUUAUACAGGAAGAAACACCGCUACGUGUAGCGGCUUGACGGUACUGUAAGAAUAAGGAUCGGCUAACUCCGUGCCAGCAGCCGCGGUAAUACGGAGGAUCCAAGCGUUAUCCGGAAUCAUUGGGUUUAAAGGGUCCGUAGGUGGAUAAUUAAGUCAGAGGUGAAAUCCUGCAGCUCAACUGUAGAAUUGCCUUUGAUACUGGUUAUCUUGAGUCAUUAUGAAGUGGUUAGAAUGUGUAGUGUAGCGGUGAAAUGCAUAGAUAUUACACAGAAUACCGAUUGCGAAGGCAGAUCACUAAUAAUUACUGACACUGAUGGACGAAAGCGUGGGGAGCGAACAGGAUUAGAUACCCUGGUAGUCCACGCCGUAAACGAUGGUCACUAGCUGUUUGGACUUCGGUCUGAGUGGCUAAGCGAAAGUGAUAAGUGACCCACCUGGGGAGUACGUUCGCAAGAAUGAAACUCAAAGGAAUUGACGGGGGCCCGCACAAGCGGUGGAGCAUGUGGUUUAAUUCGAUGAUACGCGAGGAACCUUACCAGGGCUUAAAUGUAGAGUGACAGGUCUAGAGAUAGAUUUUUCUUCGGACACUUUACAAGGUGCUGCAUGGUUGUCGUCAGCUCGUGCCGUGAGGUGUCAGGUUAAGUCCUAUAACGAGCGCAACCCCUGUUGUUAGUUGCCAGCGAGUCAAGUCGGGAACUCUAACAAGACUGCCGGUGCAAACCGUGAGGAAGGUGGGGAUGACGUCAAAUCAUCACGGCCCUUACGUCCUGGGCUACACACGUGCUACAAUGGUAGGUACAGAGAGCAGCCACUGCGUGAGCAGGAGCGAAUCUAUAAAACCUAUCACAGUUCGGAUCGGAGUCUGC